ACAUUCGCGCAGAAUUUUGGUUCUUAACUCUUUGAAUAAGAGUUAAGAUUAAAAGGGAAUCAGGAAAAAUAUACUGUAAACACUAAACUUGAAUUUUUAAUUCAAUACUCUUAAAACUUGUAUAGUAAAUUAAAAGACCUGAGCUGUUCCCGCAACUGUAAGCUUAGCCAAUUAUAGUAUUAAUUGGUGUUUGUUAUAAUUCUUUAAACCACUGUAUGCACUAAUAUAUGUUAGUUAAACGGGAAGGUAAAUAACAAAACGCAAGCCAGGAGACCUGCCUUAAUUCGAUAAGUCAA
rnacentral:ncRNA from 2 species